CAGGCGUUAGACUUAGCAAAAAUGUCUUCAUAUAUCUUUUCCGUUCUCAACCUAAACUUGCCAAACCAUUCCCUGUUUCUUUUCAUCCUUUCGAGCCAGAACAUGAACUCCAUAAAUGACCAUCCCAUCCAGAGUGAAAAACACUCCACGGAGCAGCGUAUUUUUGAUCACCGAGUGAAACACUAGCGGCAUUUCAACAGAAGUGGGGAAAAAUAGCGUCACCAAUACCAAACUGAAUAGCAAGGUUAGCCCAUGGUAGAACACGCUGUUUUGAAACGUGUCACGAAACGAAGUCUGCGUGAGCACGUUACCGCGAAACGUGUCACAUAAAGUGGCUUGCGUGAGCUUCAGCAAGUUCGUGUUAACGUUAAAGGCGAG